AACUCAUAAAAUUUGAUUGAAUUGUAUGAAUGAUGAAAAUGUUGUCGUUGAAUACCCGUGAAAUUGAUUGAAUUUGUUGAAUGAUGAAAAGUGGUUGUUAACCCCAUGAAAAUUUGCUUAAAUAUGGGAUGAUGGAAAACUGUUCGUAUAUAAUACCCAUGAAAUAUUACUUGAGUUUGUGUGUAUAAUGAAAAUGUUGUUGUAAACUAAUCAUGAAAUUUGAUUUGAAUUUGUGGAAAUAAUGAAAUGUUGUUAGUUAAACCUAAUGAGAUUUGAAAUGAAUUGUGUGAAUGAUGAACAUGUGAUGUUUAACACCAUGAAAUUUAUUGAAUUGUGUGAUGAGAAAAUGUUUGGCUCUGUUAAAUUCUAAUCCGUGUUUGAACUUGCUAUGUGAAUGAUGAAAUUUAAUUGUUUAAACAAUGAAAUUGAUCUGAAGUUGUGUGAAUAGAGAAUGUAAAGAAAUGUUGUUGGCCCAUGAAAAUUUAGAUUGAAUUCGUUAUGAAAUGAUGAAAAUGUUGUUGUUGUUUUAAAUUCAGAAAUUUUAGCGAUUAAAUUGUGUGAAUUGAUUGAAAUUGUUGUAUGUUAAACUCAAAAAUUUGAUUGUAGGAAUGGGGUAGAAUGAAGAAAAUGUUGUCUGUUGUAACCCAUGAAGAUUUGAUAGAAGAUGACGCAUAGACGAUGUUGUCAUUGUUUAAACAUAAAAUUGAUGAUAAACUCGUAGCAAGAAAAAUGAUUUGCCGAUAGUGGAUUUGGAAUGAAUUGACUCUCAAGUUGAUGUUGUUGUAAAACGGACCCAUGAAAUUUUGAUUAAUAUGGAUUAGAAGUAGAAAAUGGUUCUAUAAACCCAUGAUAUUUGAUAUGAGGUUGUAGUGUGAUAAUGAAAUGUUGAUUUUUAAACACACAUGAAAUUGUGAUUGAGUAAUUGUUGGAAUAAAUGAAAAUGUUGUUGUUUAAACCUAUGAGAUUUGAUUGAAUUGGUGUGAAUGUAUGUAAAAUGUUGAUGUAAAUGCCCAUGAAAUUUUAUUGAAUUGUGGAAUGAUGUAUGUUUCCGUGUUAAAUCCAUGGAGUUUGAUUGAAUUCAGUGAAUGAUGAAAAUAUUCGUCGUUAAAUAGCCAUGAAUUGAUUGAGUGUGUGAACGAUUAAAAAUAUUGUUCUUAAACCCAUGAAAAUUUGAUUGAAUUGUUGUGAAUGAUGAAAAUGUUGUUGUUGUUAAAUUCAUGGAAAAUCUGAUUGAAUUGUGUGGAAUGUGAAAUGCUUGAUGUUAACCAACAUGAAACUUUGAUAGAAUUGUGUGAAUAAUGACAAAUGUUGUUGCUUGUUUGAACCCCAUGAGAAUUUUGAUUGAAUUGUUGAUGCAUGUGAAAAAUGUUGUUGUUGUUAAACCCAUGAAAUUUGAUUAAAUUGUGUGAAAUGAUGAAAAUGUUGUUGUUUAAACUCAUAAACUCUCUGAUUGAAUCUGAUGAAUGAUGAACAGAUGUUGUCGUUAAUCCCCUGUGAAAAUUUGAUGAUUGUCUGAAUGAAUGAAAAUGUAGUUUGUUUUAAACCCUGAAAUUUGAUUAAAUUAGUCGGGAAAUGAUGAAUAAUGUUCUAGUUAAACCCAUGAAAUUUGAUUGAGUUGUUGUGUAAUAAUGAAAAUACUUGUUGUAAACCUAUUGAAAUUUGAAAUGAAUUGUUGGAAUAAUGAAAAUGGUGUGUUAAAGCCUAUGAGAACAUUUGAAUUGAAUUGUUUGAGAUGAUAAAAAUGGUGUGAUAGUUGAACCCAAUGAAAUUUUGCAUUUGAAUGUCGGUGGAAUGAUGAAAUGUGCCUGUCUAUAAUCCAUUGGAGUUUGAUUGAAUUCUUGAAUGAUGAAAAUAUUGUCGUUAAACCACAUUCGAAAUUUGAUUGAGUUGGUGUGGAACGAUAAAAAAUAUUGUUUUCUUAAAACCAUGAAAUUUGCUUGAAAUUAAUGUGAAUGAUGAAAAUGUUGUUUGUUGUUAAAUUCAUGAAAUCUGAUUGAAUUGUGUGAAUGAUGAAAAUGUUGAAUGUAAAAAAUGAACCCAUUGAUAGAAUUGUAGUUGAAAUAAUGAAAAUUGUUGUUGUUGUUGAACCCAUGAAAAUUUGACUUGAAUUGUCAUUGAAUGAUGAAAAUGUUGUUUUGCUUAAACCCAUGAAUUCGAUUAAAUUGUUGUGAAUGAUGAAAAUGUUGUUGUUUUAAACUCAUAAAAUUUGACUAUGAAUUGUAUGAAUGAUGGAAAUGGUUGUCGUUAGUAAACCCGUGAAAUUUGAUUGAGGUCCUGAUGCAUGACAAUGUAGUUGUUCACCCAUGAAAUUUGAUAAAUUAUCGGCAAUGAUGAAAAUGUUCUAUUAUUGAGUUGUGUGUAUAAUGAAAAUGUUGUUGUUAAACACAUGAAAUUUGAUUGAAUUGUUGGAAUAAUGAAAAUGUUGUUGUUAAACCUAUGAGAUUUGAUUGAAUUGUGUGAAUGAUGAAAAUGUAGAUGUUAAACCUUUAAAUUUUAUUGAAUUGUGGGAAUGAUGUAAAUGUUCCUGUUAAAUCCAUGGAGUUUGAUUGAAUUCUGUGAAUGAUGAAAAUAUUGUCGUUAAACCCAUGAAAUUUUUAUGAGUUGUGUGAACGAUAAAAAUAUUGUUCUUAAACCCAUGAAAUUUGAUUGAAUUGUGUGAAUGAUGAAAAUGUUGUUGUUGUUAAAUUCAUGAAAUCUGAUUGAAUUGUGUUAAUGAUGAAAAUGUUGAUAUUAAACAAAUGAAAUUUGAUAGAAUUGUGUGAAUAAUGAAAAUGUUGUUGUUGUUGAACCCAUGAAAUUUGAUUGAAUUGUAUGAAUGAUGAAAAUGUUGUUGUUGUUAAACCUAUGAAAUUCGAUUAUUGAACUGUAUGAAUGAUGAAAAUGUUGUCGUUGAACCCGUGAAAUUUGAUUGAAUUGUCUGAAUGAUGAAAAUGUAGUUGUUAAACCCAUGAAAUUUGAUUAAAUUAUGGGAAUGAUGAAAAUGUUUUAUUAAACCCAUGAAAUUUGAUUGAGUUGUGUGUAUAAUGAAAAUGUUGUUGUUAAAC
rnacentral:lncRNA from 1 species